GAUGAACGCUAGCGGGAGGCUUAACACAGUGCAAGUCGAGGGGCAGCAUAGGGUAGCAAUACUCUGAUGGCGACCGGCAAACGGGUGAGUAACGCGUAUGCAACCUACCCUGUACAGGGGGAUAACCCGGAGAAAUUCGGACUAAUAUCCCGUAAUAAUAUCCGGAGGCAUCUUUGGAUAUUUAAAGUUCCGACGGUACGGGAUGGGCAUGCGUAACAUUAGCUGGUUGGUAAGGUAACGGCUUACCAAGGCUAUGAUGUUUAGGGGUCCUGAGAGGGUGGUCCCCCACACUGGUACUGAGACACGGACCAGACUCCUACGGGAGGCAGCAGUGAGGAAUAUUGGUCAAUGGGCGCAAGCCUGAACCAGCCAUCCCGCGUGCAGGAAGACGGCCCUAUGGGUUGUAAACUGCUUUUCCAGGGAGAGAAACUUACGCACGUGUUGCGUGACUGACGGUACCCUGGGAAUAAGCAUCGGCUAACUCCGUG
rnacentral:rRNA from 1 species